CAUCACCAGUCAUGGGCUAUGGGCCACCUCCAGCUCCUCCAAGUACUCAAUUUGGAGAAUUUGAAGUUUGAAGAGAACCCUGAACUGCGACAAAUGGGCUGUGGUCAAGUAAUAUAUUUAGAAAAGUUGUCUGAUAAACGUAUUUGACUGAAUUCUUUCCCUGACCAAUCCUGUCCCCUCUAUUUUGUCUUUGCUCGUUUCCCCUGAUAAACCCAUCACAGUUCUGUGUCUGUGUCAGUAUCUGCUUCCAGGAGGACCUAACGGUCAUUCUAUUUUGAUGUAUACAGUGUGACUCCUGUAUACACAGUCACAAACAGUUAGAAUCUACAGUAAUAGGGGCAGAAGAUAAGUCACUGUUUGAAUUAUAUUGACUGCACAUGUCCCCUGGUUCCUUCUGGGGUGGUGGACACAACCUUCCUCUAGAUCUGGUGAUGGUGGCGUUUACUCCUCAAUAGGUACUCGCAAGCACACAGUGCCUGCUAGUCACAGUGGUGUGUGGUGAUCAGCAGGACAGCUGUCAGUCCCCACGAAGUGGCUGAUUCCUGAUUGCAAGAAAUGGAUGAGGAGUCAGCAGUGUCUCUGGUAGAACAGUGAGGAAACCCUGCAUUAAUCCAGAUGUUGUGGACUUUUCCCACCUACCAGCUACCUCACAGUAGCACCAAUCCAGGUGGGAGCUGAGGUAGACUUAUGGUAGUAGUUUUUGGGGUGACACUUAUGAUGUCUUGUAUUCCUCCCAGUGUUUUCUUUUAAUUUUUUUGCAAUGUGUUUAUUUUUUGAGCGGGAGAGAGAAAACAAGCGAGAGAGGGGCAGACAGAGAGAGGGAGACACAGAAUCCAAAGCAGUCUCAGUCUCUGAGCUGUCAGCCCAGAACCUGACAAGAGGCUCAAACUCACAUCCCAUGAGAUCACGACCUGAGCUGAAGUCAGGCACUUAACCGACUGAGCCACCCAUAGGCCCCUCUUCCCACUGUUUUCUCAGUGAGGGAUGGGCAGGGCAGAGGUCAAUGACAUGAUACCCUUUCCUCCCUCACCACCAAAGUGGGGUUGGUUGUAAGCAUCUGGCUCUUUCCAGGUCCUCCAAGCCCAUGCAUAAUGCCCUCGAGCCCCUGAAUCCUGCUGGGCCCUCCUUCCUCCCAGGUUAUGGAGGCAAGCAGCCUUCCAUCAACUUUGGUGUCAUGGCUGGGCCACCAGGGGGUCAAGGUCUGGCUGUCCACAUGCUUCCCAGGAGUGGCUUGGAACAGCAAUGCUGCAGUAAAGGUCAACAUGAGCAGCUUCUGUAAACAGGAUUCUCAUCCACUGCGAUCAGGGCCUGGGCUAAAACAUGACAGGAGAGAGGGGGACACAGGAUAUGUGGUGCCCUGCUUCUUGGACAGGGCUGCACAGAGCAGAAAGCUGAGGGCCUGGGGAGAGGCAGAGAAAGAGACACUGAGUCAGUGAUGGGGGAAUUGGGCAUGUCUGAGAGAGUGAGAGGAAGAAACAGAGGGAGACAGGAGUAGAGAGAAGCAGACAAAGAGGAGUCAAAGAGGAAAGGAUGGAGCUGGUCACAGUGUGUGAGGGGGCGAUGGGCCAUGCAGGAGGGGCUCUGUGACGAUACUCUCAGUGUUGGAGGCAGAAAGUGUGGGAACCCUGGGCAUGACAGUUCCCUGAAUGCAAGGCUCCAGCCUCACGGGGGCAAUCUCUGUACAGGCCAUUGCCCCUGGGAAGAUGGGUGCCCCUCAUUUUGCCUUCUGUGUUGGGGCCCAGUCUCAGUAUCGGUCAUGGAGAGAAAUGGCUUGAGGCAGAGUGUGCAGGUCAUUAGCAGGUAAAGUCCAGAGUGUGCCCCAUGGGGAGGUAACCAUCAUCUGUCUCCCCCACUGUCCCCAGUCCCUACUCCAUUCCCCCGUGCUUGAGCACGACCUUCCCUAUGUUCCAAAACCAGGCGUCAGGCAUUGUGCUGUCUCCAGAGCCUGCAGCCUGGAACUUGAAAAGAUGGAUUAUUGAUCUCAACCAAAAGCUUUUGAGAAUAAGGUCUGUAUUCUCCUUCUGGACCGAGUUAUGUGCAACAUGAUGGUGCAUUGCUAUUCUUACAUCUGCUGAUCUCUGGAUUCUGGAUUGUAAGUGAGCAGUUUAAAACACCACAGCUUUCUCUUACAUGAAAGGAGAAACCUAUGUCCUCACCCAGCCUUCCUCUGAUUGUGAAGACAUGGCAAUUAUUAUUUGAAGGCACAAUUAUCUACCUAUGAGUCUGAUGGGCACUAUUUCAUCCAUCUUCACCCUGAAAGCAUUUUUCAUUGAAAAUAUUACCAAUAUAGAGGCAGGAAAUUCAUAACAGAUGUGUAGCUCCCUCUGGGUAUGCAUUCUGACCUUGUCACAUUUGUGUCAUCAAACACAUUAUUGACAACAUGAAAAAUAAGCUCUCAACAUCAAGAUGGUGACAUUAGAGAAUGUGGUAUGAAUUUCACAUGCUCUCAAUUAGAAAUAAUUUUUUAAUGGUGAAGGAGAAACUUAAAGUUUUGUCAAAUUUUAUUGAAAUAUAAUAGACACACCAUGUUGUAUUAGUUUCAGGCAUAUAUCAUAGUGAUUCCGUGUGUAUACAUUAUGCUCUCCAGAUACCUAGACAAGUGUAGCUAUCAUGUGAAAGCAUGCAACACUUUCUUACAGGAUUGACUGUAUUCCAUAGGCUGUACCUUGUAGCCCAAUGACGUAUUCAUUCCAUAGCUGGAAGCCUGUAUCUCUUUCUCAAGGGUGUCAAUUUUUUAUUCAACCCAAGUAUUUUCGUGGUAAACACCACUGCCUGUGGCUCAUUCAUUAUGUGUCAAUUUGCGUUCUGUAUUUCUGGGAAUGCUGCUUAAAGCAUUAUAGAUGAGGGGCGCCUGGGUGGCUCAGUCGAUUGAGCGUCUGACUUCAGCUCAGGUCGUAAUCUCGCAGUUCGUGGGUUUGAGCCCCGCGUCGGGCUCUGUGCUGACAGCUCAGAGCCUGGAGCCUGCUUCAGAUUCUGUGUCUCCCUCUCUCUCUGCCCCUUCCCCGCUCAUACUCUGUCUCUCUCUGGUUCUCAAAAAUGAAUAAAUGUUAAAAAAAAUUUUUUUUAAAGCAUUACAAAUGAUAUCAUGACAUCAAUAAAUUGUUUCAUUCUUCACUCACUAUACAGGAGAAAGAAAAGAUUUCUUUGUGUCCCAGGCCCUGUCACUAAGACCUUUCCCAGUCUGGAGAACAGGCCAACUGGAUCAGCUACACCCUCAGUACCUCCAGCUGAGCUGCCAUGGCCUUGAGCAUUGCAGGAAUUCCUGCAGCCGGCAGAGGGCGCAUGCGCGCGCGUGCGUACCACGCCCAGGGAGGGCCUGGUCUUCUGCGUGCUCAGUGAUGGCGGGAGAAGGCGCUUGUUAGGUUUUUCUGAUCCAGUGUGCCUCAGAGCUGGAAAGGCUUCCUUGCUUCUGAGGUCCCAGUGCCUCUGAGUGUGGGCAAAGAGCCAGAGCUGCGUUUCCAGCAGGUUCCACCCCAGGCCGGGGGACACCCUGGAGGCUUCCAGCCACUUGGCAUCUCCUCAGUGGUGGGGCUGAGUAGUGAGGCAGGGGGCUGGGCGGCUUCCCCAGAAACGCGGGAUGGUCAGUGAGCGGCACAGUCCCUUGCAUUUUCUGGGGUGUUCUGUGGUUUGUUCCUCAUUUCCCCUGCCGCUUUGUGAACAAGAUGUAUUUCACUCAAGGAUCCGUGGAUUCAGGGGGUCCUGGGACGCCACGUCCGAGAGGCUGGCGUUGGUUUGUUCCAGGUUCAGGCUUGUUUCGGGGGAGAAAUCCUGACACAAAUUCGGAGGAGCAGGAGCCGCAUUCAGUUGGGAAGUGAAGAAGCCAAAUGUUGACUCUCAGAACCUUCUAGAAGAAUGAACUGGGAACCACUCUCCGGGUCCCGCCGGAACCAGAGCCCGAGUUGAGAUUUGGCAUGUUUUCUGAUUUCUCAUGAACUCGUGAACAUCUAAAAUACUUUUAAAUUGAUUGCGGUUUUUACUAAAAGCUGAAUCACCGGAUCCCUCUGUGACUGCUGCUGGUCAAAGGACAUACCAAGGCCACUUCUCAGUGUGGAGAUUCAUAGACCUGCCUGAGUUUCACAUUCACCACACAUACUUUCAAGGCUCCUUUCUGUCACUGUAAGAAAGAAGACAGACCUUCUGAUGCACAUGCAAGUUUCUGUAACUUCAAGAUUUGUUGUGUAGGUCUCUGUUACUUUUCCCAUCCAGUUGAAAAUAUCAUCCCACCUUGGGUAGUUCCAUAAAAAAAUGUAAUCUGUGUGCAUCAGUAUGAUUUCAUUUCAUUAUACUGGAUUUCUUCAUUGUAUGUGUAUGUAUGUAAGAUGUUCUUCAUCUUAUGUAUAUGUAUACAUUAGAUGUUUUAGUCCUGAGAAAAUCCCACAUGUAGUUGAAUUUGAAAGAAAAAUGUAUAUUCUGUACAUUUUGCAUAUUAAAUUCCUAAAUGUAGAUUUUUUGCAAGUGAAAUUAGGGUUGUUUUCUGAGAAAGAUGCAAGGGGAGAAAAACCAUUUCAGGGGGAAAAGAAUGGUGUGUAGUUUUCACAUGUCUGCAGGAGUUACUCAAUUACAUAUGUGUUUAUGAGCAGUUUUAUGACAGUGUCCUAUUUUUCCAAUUCAUUAAUGAUUUCAUAAGCUACGUAUAUCACUUUUCAUUCCAAGAUUAUAAAAUUAAAACUUCUUUCUUCUGUUGCUAUGAGAGUAUUUCCAUUUUGUAUUAACUUGUAAAAUUCAAGUGUAAUUAACAUUGGGUUAUGUUUGCUUCAAGGUGUACAGUAUAAUGGUUUAACACUUCUCCUAUGACUCCAUGCUCCUCAGUAUGAAUGUAUUCUUCAUCUCCUUCCCCUCUUUCACCCACCCCCCACCUACCUGCCCUCUGGCAAGCACCAGUUUCCUCUCUAAAUUUCAGAGUCGGGUUUUUUUUGGUCUGUCUUCUUUUCUCCGUUUUCUUUGUUUCUUUGUUUUGUUUCCCAAAUUCCAUGUAA